rnacentral:tRNA from 1 species
GCCUGGGUGGCUCAGUCAGUUGAGCAUCUGACUUCAGCUCAGGUCAUGAUCUCGUGGGCCAUGGGUUCAAGCCCUGCAUGGGCU